GGCAAUGAAUUUUCUAAUGAUAAAAUGUCCUUGAACUCUCAUUUCAGGUGCCCAGGAAGUCCUGGAACUGAGUCCUGGGGCAAGGUUCUGGAAGGUGGGACAAGAAGUUACAGACAGAACAAACACUUCAUUAAGACGUUGAUGGUAGUAAGGAUUUCUUGAGAGAGCGCUAUGGAAGGAGAAGAGACACCAAAUAAGGAGGAUCAAUGGGGCACUGUUUUGGAGAAUUUGAAGUAUGUUCCUUGGAAUCUGAGAGACAGGUACUGGCAUCUGAAUCAUGACUGAAGAGUCUAAUACUAAAGGUACCCCUGUGGUAGG
ensembl:lincRNA